rnacentral:rRNA from 1 species
UUUUUUUGAUAAUAGCGUUCCAUUGCAAUGACGGCAGAAGGAUGGUUUGCAAACAAAUGAUUUGUAUAUUCACUUUCUAAAUCAACACGAUAAUUAAUUGAUGACAUAGAUACGCGAGCUAGCAAUAUUUGAUCAAGUGGAUGCUUAAAUUGAUCCAUACUUGAAGCGUGUUGGGCAUUUGUUUGUGGAAUAACAAAGUGUCCCUUCCCUCUUGUACUCUCUACGAUGCCAUCUUCGGCUAACAAUUUUAUAGCUUGGCGCAAAGUCAUACGACUGACAUCAAAGCGCGCACAAAGUUCCUUUUCAGUAGGUAAUGCAUGGCCACUCGGAUAUUUUCCUAUUUGAAUUUCUUUAUAUAACGUAUUAUAAAUCGUUAAAAAUUUUGGUUGUGUUUGCGUCACGUAGACAACCUCCAUAAAGUUACUUAAUCACUCUCAUCAUACAAUAAUUUUUACUCGAAUUGGAAAAAUUAUAAAAAUUAAAUAUAGAUAGGCUUUGAAAAUUAGUUUUAUACAAGGUUAGUAGCUGUAACUGUAAAAUGUUCUUAAUAUUGUCAAAAUGUAAUGCUUGAAAGCGCUUUUAAAAAAUAUUAUUAUAUACAUGGUUAGACAAAUAGACAAAUCACUAUACAAAUAUUGGGAGGAAUAUUUUAUGAAAUCAACACCACACAUUAAACCAAUGAAUGACGUCGAAAUUGCAGAAACGGUUCUAUUGCCAGGAGAUCCGUUAAGAGCUAAGUUCAUUGCAGAAACUUAUUUGGAUGAUGUGGAACAGUUCAAUACAGUGCGAAACAUGUUUGGUUUUACCGGAACAUAUAAAGGUAAAAAAGUUUCUGUCAUGGGUUCAGGUAUGGGUAUGCCAUCUAUUGGCAUUUACUCUUAUGAAUUAAUUCAUACAUUUGGUUGUAAAAAAUUAAUUCGCGUUGGUUCUUGUGGCGCGAUGCAAGAAAACAUUGAUUUAUAUGAUGUGAUUAUUGCACAAGGUGCCUCUACUGAUUCAAAUUACGUUCAACAAUAUCAAUUACCAGGUCAUUUUGCGCCAAUUGCUUCUUAUCAAUUAUUAGAAAAAGCAGUUGGAACAGCACGUGACAAAGGUGUACGUCAUCAUGUAGGUAAUGUGUUAUCAAGUGAUAUUUUCUAUAACGCGGAUACAACAGCGAGUGAACGUUGGAUGCGUAUGGGUAUUUUAGGUGUAGAAAUGGAAUCAGCUGCAUUAUACAUGAAUGCAAUUUACGCUGGUGUCGAAGCAUUAGGUGUGUUCACAGUGAGCGAUCAUUUAAUUCAUGAAACGUCAACAACACCUGAGGAAAGGGAACGUGCAUUUACAGAUAUGAUUGAAAUUGCACUGUCAUUGGUUUAGAUAAUUAUGAAUGUUGAAUAUUCUAAAAUAAAGAAAGCAGUACCUAUUUUAUUAUUCUUAUUUGUAUUCAGUUUGGUUAUAGACAACUCAUUUAAAUUGAUUUCUGUAGCCAUUGCUGAUGACUUAAACAUUUCUGUAACGACAGUAAGUUGGCAAGCGACAUUAGCCGGUUUAGUAAUUGGUAUUGGCGCUGUAGUAUACGCUUCAUUAUCUGAUGCCAUUAGUAUACGCACACUAUUUAUUUAUGGCGUGAUAUUAAUCAUUAUCGGAUCAAUUAUUGGUUACAUUUUCCAACAUCAAUUCGCAUUACUUUUAGUUGGACGUAUUAUUCAAACUGCCGGUUUAGCCGCUGCAGAGACAUUAUAUGUGAUAUAUGUUGCAAAGUAUCUUUCUAAAGAGGACCAGAAGACUUACCUUGGCUUAAGUACGAGCAGUUAUUCCUUGUCAUUAGUUAUCGGUACAUUAUCAGGUGGAUUUAUUUCUACGUAUUUACACUGGACAAAUAUGUUUUUAAUUGCAUUAAUCGUAGUAUUUACGUUGCCAUUCCUAUUUAAAUUAUUACCAAAAGAAAAUAAUACGAAUAAAGCUCAUUUAGAUUUUGUUGGCUUAAUUCUAGUGGCAACUAUUGCUACAACAGUCAUGCUGUUUAUUACGAACUUUAAUUGGUUAUAUAUGAUUGGUGCCUUAAUUGCGAUUAUCGUUUUUGCGCUAUAUAUUAAAAAUGCGCAACGUCCAUUAGUAAAUAAAUCAUUUUUCCAAAAUAAACGUUAUGCUUCAUUUUUAUUUAUAGUAUUUGUAAUGUAUGCUAUCCAAUUGGGUUAUAUUUUUACGUUCCCAUUCAUAAUGGAGCAAAUUUAUCAUCUGCAACUAGACACAACAUCACUGUUAUUAGUACCGGGUUAUAUAGUAGCAGUCAUCGUUGGUGCACUAAGUGGUAAAAUCGGCGAAUAUCUGAAUUCAAAACAAGCGAUUAUCACAGCAAUUAUUUUAAUCGCACUGAGCUUGAUUUUACCUGCAUUUGCAGUAGGUAAUCACAUUUCAAUCUUCGUCAUUUCUAUGAUAUUCUUUGCAGGUAGCUUUGCUUUAAUGUAUGCACCUUUACUUAACGAAGCCAUUAAAACAAUAGAUCUUAAUAUGACAGGUGUGGCUAUUGGUUUUUAUAAUUUAAUUAUUAAUGUGGCGGUAUCUGUAGGUAUUGCGAUUGCUGCGGCUCUAAUCGAUUUUAAAGCAUUAAAUUUCCCAGGCAAUGAUGCAUUAAGUUCACAUUUCGGUAUUAUUUUAAUUAUUUUAGGUUUAAUGAGUAUUGUCGGAUUAGUUUUAUUCGUCAGCUUAAAUCGUUGGACACAAUCUGAAAAAUAAAUAGAUAUAAAUUCGCGAGAUAUAUUCGUAUUUAUAGUAAAAUUAAAUAAAGAGAUUAUAUAACACGAGGAGUAGUAAGUAUGAAAUUUGAGAAAUAUAUAGAUCACACUUUAUUGAAGCCUGAGUCAACACGUACGCAAAUCGAUCAAAUCAUCGAUGAAGCGAAAGCAUACAAUUUUAAAUCUGUAUGUGUGAAUCCAACACAUGUUAAAUAUGCAGCAGAGCGACUAGCUGAUUCAGAGGUGCUCGUUUGUACGGUAAUAGGAUUCCCAUUAGGUGCGUCGACAACUGCAACGAAAGCAUUUGAAACAGAAGAUGCAAUUCAAAAUGGUGCAGAUGAAAUUGACAUGGUCAUCAACAUCGGCGCAUUAAAAGAUGGACGUUUUGAUGAUGUACAACAAGACAUUGAAGCAGUGGUUAAAGUUGCGAAAGGUCACACAGUAAAAGUGAUUAUUGAGACGGUAUUGUUGGACCAUGACGAAAUUGUAAAAGCGAGUGAAUUAACAAAAGCGGCUGGUGCGGACUUCGUUAAAACUUCAACAGGUUUUGCAGGUGGCGGUGCGACUGCAGAAGACGUUAAAUUAAUGAAAGAUACAGUAGGUGCUGAUGUAGAAGUAAAAGCAUCAGGUGGCGUACGUAAUUUUAGAAGAUUUCAAUAAAAUGGUUGAAGCAGGUGCGACACGUAUUGGUGCGAGCGCAGGCGUUCAAAUUAUGCAAGGUUUAGAAGCAGAUUCAGAU